UACGGGGGGAGCAAGCGUUGUUCGGAUUUACUGGGCGUAAAGGGCGCGUAGGCGGUCAGCACAAGUCAGUUGUGAAAUCUCCGGGCUUAACUCGGAAAGGUCAACUGAUACUGUGCGACUAGAGUGCAGAAGGGGCAACUGGAAUUCUCGGUGUAGCGGUGAAAUGCGUAGAUAUCGGGAAGAACACCAAAGGCGAAAGCACUCUGCUGGGCCGAAACUGACACUGAUAGACGAAAGCUAGGGGAGCAAAUGGG
rnacentral:rRNA from 1 species